UACGGAGGGGGCUAGCGUUGUUCGGAAUUACUGGGCGUAAAGGGCGCGUAGGCGGCGCUCCAAGUCAGGCGUGAAAGUCCCGGGCUCAACCCGGGGACGGCGCUUGAGACUGGGGUGCUCGAGUCCGGGAGAGGAUGGCGGAAUUCCCAGUGUAGAGGUGAAAUUCGUAGAUAUUGGGAAGAACACCGGUGGCGAAGGCGGCCAUCUGGACCGGCACUGACGCUGAGGCGCGAAAGCGUGGGGAGCAAACAGG
rnacentral:rRNA from 1 species